UACGUAGGCGGCAAGCGUUGUCCGGAGUUAUUGGGCGUAAAGCGCGCGCAGGCGGUGCGGUAAGUCUCUGGUGAAAAGCGCUCGGCUUAACUGGGCGAGGGCCGGGGAGACUGCCACGCUGGAGGGGAGCAGAGGCGAGUGGAAUUCCGGGUGUAGUGGUGAAAUGCGUAGAGAUCCGGAGGGAACACCAGUGGCGAAGG
rnacentral:rRNA from 1 species